rnacentral:misc_RNA from 1 species
CAUGUACGCAAGCACCAGAAAGAACCCAUUCCCCAUCCUACCCGACUCAUAUGUGCACCUUGUUCAUGGUUCCUGUGUUCUCAUCACGUCGAACGCGACACCCACGCUCCGGAAAACGUCUUCACACCGCAAAAGAGGGGCGCACGCAUAUCCGAAGAAAAAAACCGGACAGGAGGCAAUCGAACACACGCACGCGCCCUUCGGGCACCCCUUCCCUCCCUCGCUCUUCUGCUUUUCUGCGUCCCGGCCUCCGUCUCUGCAGCAGCCGUUGCCGACCUUCUUCUGCUUUGUCUCUGCCCUUCCCACGCUCGAUCCGUCUCUGUGUUUGGCGUCUCUCACGCGCCCUCCACCGGACCAGUGCCGUCGCCAUCAUCGACAUCAGCCGCGUCUCCGUCUCUCUUUCUCUUCGCUCCUCCUCUCACAAACGGACAAGCGCCACGCGCGUGACCGCCGGAGAGGCAGAAGCAAGACGCCACCGACGACGACCACAGGCAGGCAGGUAGGCACACAAGCAACCGCACAGGACAACUUGCACACACGUAUCACGUUCCACCCUUGCCCACUUCGCACAGAGGCACGCACGUGGGGGCACCCUUUUAUGCGCGCAUCAGAGAUGGAGGAUCAUCACGCCCCGUUGCCGCUGUCAGGAGCGACAGGCACCUUUCGCUCGUACGGCACGUACACCUACGACGUUCACGAGUUUGACCGCAUGCGGAAAGAGGACCUCGCCUCCUCGGUGCGCCAGCGCUUUACCAAGCGCUCCCACACGGUGAUUAUGGGCGGCGAGAACUUCGGUGCAGGCGUUCAAGAUUCGCUCGAGGACAUCUUUGCCCGCGCCAACGAGGCAACGCCGAUGUACGAAAAACUCGGCAAGGUAGAGGGCAUCGCGAACACGCUGCACACGUCCCUGAAAAACGGCGUGGACGGCAACACCGUGGAGGCGCGCCGCGCCUUCUUUGGCAAGAACGCACUGCCCGAGGAACCGCCGCUAACCUUUUGGGAGAUGUACAAGGCCUCGUGGGAGGACAGCAUGAUCCGCCUGCUGACGGUGGCGGCCAUCGUGUCGCUCAUCCUGGGCCUCACCGUGCCGGAUCCCGGCGAGACGGAGGUGAACUACAAGACGGGCUGGAUCGAGGGCUUUGCCAUCAUCUGCUCUGUUAUCAUCGUGACCACAGUGUCAUCCGUUAACGACUAUAACAAGGAGAAACGGUUCCACAAGCUGACGGAGGAGAACUCCGCGCAGCCGGUUCGCGUGCGCCGUGGCGGAAAAGAUGUCACGAUCGAUGUGACGGAGAUUGUCGUGGGCGAUAUCGUGAACCUGUCGCCUGGCCUUGUGGUGCCUGUGGAUGGGUUCUACGUGACGGGCAUGAGCGUUGUGAUCGACGAGAGCAGCGUGACGGGCGAGAAUGACCCGAAGAAGAAGAACGCGAACGCGCCGAUCAUUUUGACAGGGACUGUGGUGAACACUGCGGAGGAUGCGUACAUGCUUGCGUGUGCCGUGGGUGAGCGCUCGUUCGGCGGCAAGCUGCUGAUGGAGUCGCGCGGCGCUGGUGCGCCUCGCCCGACGCCGCUGCAGGAGCGCCUGGACGAGCUUGCCGACCUCAUCGGCCGCAUCGGUCUCGGCGCUGCGAUGCUACUGUUCGCCUUGCUGUCCUUGAUGGAGGGGUUCCGGAUGCUGCAGCACGACUCGGGAGCUUCGUGCCGCCACUUCCUCGACUACUUCCUUCUCUGUGUCGCCAUCAUUGUGGUGGCCGUGCCGGAGGGUCUUCCGCUGGCCGUGACGAUCGCGCUUGCCUACUCUCAGAACAAGAUGCACGACGACAACAACCAGGUGCGCCGCCUGCGCGCGUGCGAGACGAUGGGCAACGCGACGCAGAUUUGCAGCGACAAGACAGGCACGCUGACGCAGAACCUGAUGAGCGUGGUGCAGGGCUACGUUGGCAUGCAGCACUUUUCUGUGAAGCGUCCUGGCGACUUGCCGGAGCCGGUGCCGCUGUCUGGCAUGCGCGCGACCUCGCUUCGCCAGCUCAGCGAGGGCAUUGCGAUCAACAGCUCGAGCGAGAAGGUUGUGAGCACGACGGACAAGGAGGGCCACACGGUCGCGCCGUACUGGCAAUGGGUGGCGGACAAGGGCAACAAGACGGACAACGCGCUGCUGGACUUUGUGGACCGCGUUGCGAUGACGGAGGCGGACGCACGCGACAUGGGGUCGCGGCCGCACCAGCGGAUUCGCGAGGCGUGCCGGCAGCGCGGGUUCACGAUCUUCCCGUUCACGAGCGACCGGAAGCGGAUGAGCGCUGUUGUGCGGCAGGAGGACGGGACGCUGGUGCACCAUGUGAAGGGCGGGUCUGACCGUAUUCUGCCGCUGUGCGACCGGUACGUGAACGAGGCGGGCGACGAGGUGCCCAUGACGGACGAGGCGCGGGCGCGCAUUGCGCAGCAGGUGAAAAAGUUGGCGGACAUGGCGAACCGCACCAUCGGUGUCGCGUACGCGGUGCUUGGCGGCACUGAGCUUCCCGAGGAUGAACCGACCGAGAGCUUGGUAUGGCUGUCCCUGCUCGGCAUCCAGGACCCGCUGCGACCGGAGGUGGCGGAUGCCGUGAUGAAGUGCCAGGCGGCGGGAGUGACGGUGCGCAUGUGCACAGGUGACAACAUCGAUACGGCGGUGGCCAUCUCACGCCAGUGCGGCAUCUUCAAUCCCUACUACGGCGAUCUUGCGAUGACUGGCCAGGACUUCCGCAAUCUUGUGUACGACGCGUACGGCGACGACGAGCGCAUGGCGAAGUUCUGGCCUGUGCUGGACCACAUGACGGUGAUGGCGCGCUCGCAGCCGCUGGACAAGCAGCUUCUUGUGCUGAUGCUGAUGACGCGCGGCGAGGUUGUCGCUGUGACCGGCGACGGCACGAACGACGCACCUGCGCUGCGCCUUGCGAACGUUGGGUUUGUGAUGCGGAGCGGGACGGACAUUGCGGUGAAGUCUGCGGACAUUGUGCUGCUGGACGACAACUUCCGCUCUGUGCAGCGCGCCGUUGUGUGGGGCCGGUGCGUGAACGACAACAUCCGCAAGUUCUUGCAGCUGCAGCUGACGGUGAACUACGUGUCUGUGGCACUGACGUUCAUCGGGUCGCUCAUGGCGGGCGGCCAUUCCUCGCCGCUGACGACGGUGCAGCUGCUGUGGGUGAACCUGAUCAUGGACACACUGGCCGCCUUGGCGCUUGCGACGGAGGAGCCGAGCGAGGAGUGCCUGAAGCGGCAGCCCAUUCACCGCAAGGCACCGCUGGUUUCGCGCCGCAUGCACAUGACGAUAUUCAGUGUAGCAGCUUACAUGCUGGGCCUAACCCUAAGCUUGCAGGCGUACGCACACGUCUGGUUCAAGGCGGGGCCGCUCGACGGCGUGGAGCACAGCACAAUCGUCUUCAACGUGUUUGUGCUUGGCUCGGUGCUGCACAUGUUCAACUGCCGCAAGCUGUACGAUGAGCUGAACGUGCUGGAGGGUAUUUGGUCCCGCUCAGCACCCUGUAUCGGCGUCAUCAGCUUCUGCUUUUUCUUUCAGAUUAUCGCCGUGCAGGCGCUCGGCGGAUUCAUGAAGGUCACCGCCCUUCGGUCGGAGGAGUGGCUUGCGUGCGUGAUCCUCGCCACCGGUGUGCUCUUCACCGGCUUCGUAUCGCGGCUCAUCCCUGUUUGCGAGCCGCAGUUUGAGAAGACCUUCGACGGAAGCAUGCUCGACGAGGACGCCAAGGCAAUGCUGGCGAGGCUCGACAGCGCGGUAACCAAGGCGCAGGCGGCGACUGACGAGUUUAAGGAGGGCAUCUACCUUGAGAAGGCGCGUCGGCUUCGAGCGCGUGCCCUGUGGAGUGAGGCACGCCACCACCAUCUCAACGUGAGCCGUAUCGUCAACGCGUUCCGCCGCAGAAGGGCGGAGCGGAUCGAGGAGGGUAGUCUCUUGAGUGUCAUGUAGGCGUAGGCGAAGAGGAGAGAGGGCAGGCGCGGCACGCGUGUGGCUCAUGACGCCCUCUCCUCUCUCCUCAGCGACACCGUUGUUUUUCUCUCCUGUGCUCCCCAGAGAAGGAGUCUCUCCCUCCCUCCCUGGGCACACACACACACACACACACAUCUGUCGACGCGUAAGCAGGCUCAUCUCUCUAUGUAUUGGUGACUUUGUUCGCUUGCCCUGCAUCUUCGGUGCAAGUCUGCAUUUAGGAAGAGGCGUAUGUUACCACCGCGACAGGCCUGCCAAGGCACUCGGUCCCCCGGGCUUUCAGCACCCCAGCGCAGCAGGCGUAAAGGAGUCACGGCGCUGGCGCCUCCGUGCCAAUACGCCACGGCGCGGCACGCGGAUAGGUGUGUAGGCCCUCUUUCCCCAGUUCUAAAGGACAAGGCUGCGGCAGCUGCGCCCUGGCUUUUCCGCCAUGUCUCCACUCGACGGAUGCACCCCACGCGUGGCCACACGGUUAAGGGUUACCUGGUUGCACGGGGGUUUUCGAUCAGGUGCCGGACGGCGUCGCCCACCAGCCCUCGCGUUAUUGGGAUGGGUGCCGGCUCGCUCCGCCGGGUGCGGGACGGGAAAGGGACGACGCGACCGGGCCAGGGCCAUCCCAAAUGGCGGGCCGAGCGACGGAUGCUCGACGCGCGCAAGGGACAACGGCACGCCGACAGGGCACAGCGCAGACGGGGCCACUGGGAUUUCACUGGAUGACCCCGCGCUGUCCGGCUGCUUUGUCCGCGGCCGGGGCACCGUCGCCACGGCGCCUUGUGGCCAGCCGCGCUGCCCAGCCCCCCGCCCCACUCUGAGGAGGAGGGUGGGCGGGUGCUGCCCGCGAUGACCGGGGCCCACCCAUUCCCUUUUCGCGCGGCGAACCUAAAGCUGCGCCGCGCCCUGAUUGCCGAAUCGGCCCGCAAGGACCGCGAGCAGGCCCCAGCGACGGGGAAGCGAAGACGCGCCAGGCCCAGAGCGCCGCGCCAGCCCCGAGACCACCACCACAAGCUGGAAGAGCACCGAGGGGAGGGAGGGCGGAUCGCCCAUGCCGCCACACACCGCCACAACGCCCCCGCCCGCGAUACGCUAAAAUCACCCCCCGAUAGCAACCACCACCGAGAAAGCCGCCCCAUCUGGCAUCACCGCUGGUAGACCAUUCUGGGCGACAAGACUGGCACCAUCGGGGGCAGCCCUCGAGACGGUGCCCCGCCCGUCGCCGGAGCAUUUCCCCCUACCGAGAACGCCCGCGAAACCGCACCAAGGAACCAGCCUUGAGGGACGGAUGCGGCCCCGCAACGCCCCCACCCCCAGCGACCCCCGAUCACGGGCACGCAUCUUGGCUACCCAUGCCCGCGUGCACUGCGCGCACGAGUGGUGGGACAAGUUGGCCGCCACCUCAGCGCGAUAAAGCAGGCAAAGGUGUUGGCGGAGGUCGGCGCAGCGUUCGGCCGCCCCCCCCCCCCCCCCCCCCCUCGCGCCCCACGGCGUUUUACGGAGACCCUGCGCUACGCCCUUCCAACCGCCCGCAAUAGGCGGGCCCGGGAUGUCACCCUACAAAGUCCACUGGGGCCCCGCCAUCGGCCUUGACGAGAUUUACUGUGAGGGCGCCAAAGCCCUACAGAUGCACGGCGGGGAGGGCGCACCGCUGCACAUCCACGGCCGGAGCGUCACCACCAGCCGCGCCGCUGCCGCAAUGAAGGGUGGAGCGGGGCGCAUUUUGCCCUCUCUGAAGCUGCACAUGCCGGGUGCUGGCCGUGCGCCCUGCCAUCCCUGCGGCGCUGGCUGGCAAUACCCGCAGUUUACUCGAGCGCAUGAUCCCGCGACGGCUUGACGACCGCGUGGGAAGACAAGCGCCAGCUGCAGCCGCCCGGCCUCCGUCCCUGCCGACCCGCGGUGGGCCUCCCUGAGCCUGCUCCCCUCUUCCUCCCACAAAGCAGCCCGGCACCAAGAAAGGGGCUGUGGUAGAGAUCCUCUUUCGGGUACGUGCGUGCAAUAAGGCGUUGCAGCUGGCCGCGAUACUGUGCAACGAAGAGCCCGCACCUCGUUUCGAAGGAAUUCGCAGCGCCUCAGCGCCCAGCGCCCCCCCCCCCCCCCCCCUCCCCCAGAGGGCGGAUUCUAGCGCGACCUGCGUGGCAUCCCUGCUUUUGAGGGAUGUGAAGAGUGUGAGGAUAUCAGGGAAGAAGGCGUGAUGCGGUCCUGGUAUCCUGUUGGGCUCUACCCUCGGCAAGCCCACCGCGAUGCUCAAGAGAAGAGCGCGCAGGACUGGCAGUUUGCGGGCCCCUCGACGUAGCCGCGGCUCGGGCUGCCGGGCUGGGGGCGGUCUGCUCGCACGGGUGGGCUCCGCCACUCUUUCCACAUGGCAUCGCUUGAAUCAGAGCAGCGCAACGGCGCUGCCGCAUGGCAGGGUGGGGCUGGCCGAAACGGCGGGGGGGCCCGCGAACACGCUCACGCCAAAGCGUCCGCAGCCACCCCUGCGAUCCCUCGGCGCCCCCCCUCAAUCCCCCGAACGGGUAUGCGGGCAUCGACCUCUUAGGGGCACCGCGCGGACCUCCUCCCCCACCCCCUCCUGCGCAGCGGCUGCGUGCGUUCCAGUGCCUCACUUCUUGGCGGGCUGCGGGCAGCCUCUCUGGAUGGAGGCAAAGACAGCGGCGCGCAGGCAGCGGCUCUGCCGUUGUGUGCGGGCUACCUUGCGCGCUGUGGGCGGAUGGUGCGGUGCAGACGGCCACGAAACUGGGGGCGGCCGUGAUGCUUCACGCUAAUAAUACGCCCGCGGGCACAACGGAGGAGGCUGCGGCCGCCGCGCGGGGUGUGGCGCGAUGGGGCUGGGCUUGGCCUGCUGUGAAAGGCGCGGCGCCCGCUACACUCGACCCUGCGGGCUGAGGGGGCAUCGGCGCGGGGGGGGCAGUGAGGGCACCCCGAGCUGCACCACCGAGUCCUCCAGACUCUGCUGUGGAGAGUCUCCGCGCCAUAUUGCGGGAUGCGGCGGCUUGGGGCGGCUGGGGGGGGGCGUGGCGCGCGGGCGGGGCACAGAGUCUCGGGGGUCCCUGGCCUGGGGCCGGCCAGCUGCCUCCUUGGGUCCACUCGGCAUGCGCCUUUGCCAUCCCGUGCCACCACCCGCGCGACAGACGCUAUCGCCACUGCCCUCGCGCGCCAGGGCGUAGCUGCGGCGCAGCAGAGGUGAGUGAGCUGCAGCUGUGUAUGUGCGUCUUGCUUGCUUGACGUGUUCGUAGUGGCUACGUGGACACGGCUGAAAGGGCGAGAGGUAGAGCAACGUCAAAACAAGAGGCGUCCAGCAUUGUAGUCGCAACGCUUGGAGAGCUCCCUCAGCGACAGCGGCGCUUAGGCUUGCAUGCGUGUGUGUGGAGUGUGCUGGGCGCAUAGCAGCGUACUUGCUCCCAGGGUGCUUGCUUCGCUUUCCUUGUAGUGUGUCUGCUCUACGCACCCGCCCCCUUCCUUUGCUCAACACACACACAUAUCCUCAG